ensembl:lncRNA
GUAGUUUUCAAUUGCCUGUCAGAGUACUUACUGGUUCUACCUUGUUGCCACUUAUGCAGAGAGUCCACCACAGGCACCACCAUGUUGAUUUGGGCCCAGACAGAAGUGGAGAAAGGAGCUGUCAGCCUCUGCAGACUUACCUUUGUCAUCAGUCACUGACUAAGGAAAAUCUGGGUACAAGACAUACACAAGGAAGAUCACGUGAAGGCACAGGGAGAAAAUGGCCAAUUACAAUCCAAGGAGAGAGGCCUCAGUGGAAACUAGCCCUGGAAAUUGAACAAUGCAAUAUGUGGCAUGGAACAGACAGAGCACAUUGAGAAGAAAUACAUUUAAGAAGACACUAAAUAAUUUCUUCAUAGAAAUUCAAGAAUAUAUGAUGUCCAUAUUUAUGUAUCUAUAUCUAUCCAUCUAUCUAUCUAAAUAACUACAUAUGUAUGGCUGCUACGGCUACUAUGUAAAAGAAAUAAUAUGAAGAAAAGAAAAACAUCAUUAAAAGUUUUUAAAAAUGUAAUUUAAAACAUUGGAAGGUCCCAAAGUACAGAGCAAAAAGCAAAGAGAGGGGAAAAAUAGAAAGCUUAGGGAGCUUUGAGAAUCAACUCAUCGGAAGACAACAAAUAUCUAAUAUAUGUCCUAAAACACAGAGAAAUAGAAGUUACAAAGGCUCUUCAAAAAGAAGACUGUUUGCUAGAACUGAAGAAUAUCUGGGUUUCUCAGAUUUAAAGUGUUGACUGGUUUCUUGGUAACUUGAAUAAAUGAUAGCCUACACAUAAAUUUAACCCCAUGGAAUUUCAAAAAACCAAGUGUCAAGAGAAGCUUAUUAUUCCAGAACCGAAUAACAAAAAUUCAGACUAGCACAUAAAUCUUUCAUUGGCACUAGAAGACAUAAAAUGGCAGGGACAUAAUUCCUUGUGUGCUCUGAAGAAAAUUACUUGGAUUUCACAUGUUUCCAAGCCCUCCCUGUCCUUUCCACAUUGUUCCAGGAUUCUGGAAUACCUUGCCUUGCAGCUUUUAGUUGGGUUUUAAUAUCAAUGGCUACCAUCAGGAGACUGAAGAGGCAAAGGAUAACAAAGUAAAAAUAUUUGCCCUUUGCCAGAUUAUUGUGGCCCUGAAAGUUAUUGGCUACAUUGUUUUGGACCAUAGCUUGAGAUCCCAUUCUUGUUUGGAUUUUAUUUACAGCUAAUGAUUAAGAAAACAAGAAGAAAAAGAAAAAAAUCUCAUCUCGCUUGCUUCUCAUAUAACUUCUUCACAUAGUCCCCAACACAUCUCCAGGUCUACUACUGUGUAACUUCCUGCCUAAUAAGGGUAGCUUUGGAGAGCAGUGCCUGAAGUAUGGCUGUGAGGUAUGAUCCAAAGAAGCCAGGAGCAGGUGAUUUUCUGUUUUUAUAGAAGGGACUAAAGUCCAGGGUAUCUCUUUACAUACUUUGAAGAGAAUAGUAAUCACAACAGCUUAACAUCCUCCUAUCCUAACUGCAGACACUAUUCAAAGGCUUUUCCUCCAACCUCCACACUCUUUGUACCAGUGAUAUUAGUUCUGGGCAAUUCUAAAAUAAUUAAAUAUCACAGUGUCAUUCCCUCCAGAUUUUGGAUAGCAGGUUUGAACAUAACUAACUUGCUUUUCCUUCUUUGUAUAAUGGAGGAGACCAGACUACGACAUCUCAAAAUCUGCCCUUUUGGCAUAAAAAAUUAUUUUGAGCUUAUUUAUGUUAAGAAACAGCAAACACAGGAGAAACUUUGAAAGCAGAGAAGUUACUCUUGUACAAGGAAAAUUUACAUCUAUAAAGGAAAUCUCCACUUAUAAGUGUCUCUCUUUCUCUCUAAACCAGGAAAAAGAGGAAGACUAAAUCACAACAGACUGAAGAAAGUACUGGCUGAAUCUGAAUAAUGAAUCUUACUUUUGUUUCCUGGACUUUUCCUAGUCACAUCCCAUGAAUAACUUCUCUCCCAUCCUUCUUUCUUUCUUUCUUCCAGUUUUACAAGACACUUAAAUAUGAAUUCUAAGUCAUUUCUUUAUGAUUUAUUUAUUUUGUCCUUAAUGUCUACUCUGUCUACAUGAAGUAUGCAUGUCUAUAAUCUUGAUUAUUUUUCUCUUAUUCAUUUUUGUCUACUGUUAUAGUUGAGAUCUAAAAUAUCCCUCCUAAGUCUCAUGUGUUUGGGAGGAGAUUGGAUCGUGGGGGUGCUAUACUUAUCCACUGAUAAGUUCAGAAGCUGAAUAUACUGCUAGGAGACAGGGUCUGGUUGGAGAUAGAUCACUGGAGCCUUGAUCUGAAAGGGUGUAUUCUUGUCCACAGCUCUUCCCUUUUCUCUCCACUUUCUGUCUGCAUGGGUUGAAUAGCUUUCCUCUGCCAUGGCCCUCUGCCAUGCUAUUUCUGCCUUGGAGCCAGCUGACCAUGGACUGUAUCCUCAGGAUCCAAAAUACACUUCUCCUCCUUCAAAUUCUGAGUGUCAUGUGUUUUUUCCCAGUAAUAGAAAAGUGACUAAUACAUCUAGGGUCCCAGCC